UGCAUUUCUUGCAGUUCUGAUGCAUGGAGAAAUGCUCAACUCCUGAUGCAUGGAGAAAAGACCUUCACAAGCCUCUUAUAUUGUGUACAUAGUUUAUACUAAGUGACUCACAGGUUGAGGAGGCGGUGGAGGAAGAGGAUGAGGUAGCCAACACUGAUAUAUAUAUAAUGUUCCUCAGAGUAGCUGUUGACAUUAUAGUUGCACAGGCACUUUGUUAACUCUAGAGAACCUCGGACCAGACGCACAUCCCCGUGACGGCGAAUUUGCAUUUGGAUGUCAUCCAAAUCAACUUUCGAUGACAGUUUCUGCGCCUACCAUGGUGACCACGGGUAACGGAGAAUCAGGGUUCCAUUCCAUACAGGGACCCUGAGAAACGGCUACCAUAUGCAAGGAAGGCAGCA